rnacentral:rRNA from 1 species
GUGGGGAAUAUUGGGCAAUGGAGGAAACUCUGACCCAGCAACGCCGCGUGGAGGAAGAAGGUUUUCGGAUCGUAAACUCCUGUCCUUGGAGACGAGUAGAAGACGGUAUCCAAGGAGGAAGCCCCGGCUAACUACGUGCCAGCAGCCGCGGUAAUACGUAGGGGGCAAGCGUUGUCCGGAAUAAUUGGGCGUAAAGGGCGCGUAGGCGGCUCGGUAAGUCUGGAGUGAAAGUCCUGCUUUUAAGGUGGGAAUUGCUUUGGAUACUGUCGGGCUUGAGUGCAGGAGAGGUUAGUGGAAUUCCCAGUGUAGCGGUGAAAUGCGUAGAGAUUGGGAGGAACACCAGUGGCGAAGGCGACUAACUGGACUGUAACUGACGCUGAGGCGCGAAAGUGUGGGGAGCAAACAGGA